UAUGAAAUUUGCCAUCUAAUGUCAAAGCGGAAGUCAAAGAACAUUUUGAUUUUGAGUACCUUUGGAAUACUCAAGGAAUAACUUAGUCAAUGUCUUCUGAAUUAAGGAAAACCUGACAUAUGCGAUCACAUAUGAAGAACUAAGGGAUUUAUUUAUUAGCUUAUUUUCCUCCCAUCUAGCAUAGGAGAAAAAUGGAUUACAGCAUUUUUAGCUUAGAUUCAAUAAGCAAGACAUGAACACAAACUUUGAAGGAAAACAUAGCUAAGGCAAUUGAGGCAAUGGCAAACAGUAUAAAAUCAGGGAAAGUUUCUCAGAGGUAGACCUUUCCUGGCAGCUUUUUUCAUGACUCUUUUUCUUAAUUGGUGUUCACAAGGUGAGAGAGGGACUAGUUGGAGUGAAUGACAAUAUAAUCAGAAAUGCAAAAGGUACGAACUGACAGUUUAGGCUGGAAAUUGGGAAGAGGAUUUCAGUUGAAUGUAGCAGGUUUCUGGGAAUACAGAACAAUAACAACAACAGAACAAACAAAAAACAAUAUAUAACAAACAGAAAAACAAAGCAACACACACACACACACACAAAAGCUGAGAAAGAAAACUCAAUUCAUUUUAAGAUAGCUUUUACUUAGGCUGUGAAAGGAAUUAUAUGAAAUGGUUGGCUAUGAUUGCAGAGAAUUGCCCUUGGUUACCCAGACAACCUUUCCAGCUCUAUUUUGUUAAGACAUGACAUACUUCAGGUGGGGUUAUUGAGCCAGCUACUCACCACUACUUCCCGUGAGGAUUAUUUCACUCACUUUACCUCAGAAAUUCCUCAGUACUGUCUGCAUCACUCAAGAGCUUCUGGAGAAGAACUCAGCAAGGAAGCAAUGAAAUCUACCACAAGAUCUGACACCAAGUCAGAUCCCUGACUGAAUCAGAACCUGGGAUCCCUGAGAAGCAGUCUGGAACAUGCAUCUGAGGCCUCAUUCUCUACCAAUGAGUGGAAAGCAGAGCUGGCUGCCUACUGACAAGUGGGGUGAGGAGAAGGAUGUCCCUUGGCUCCCUCCGUGGGGGGAAUUUUUGCCCAGCUCCCCUGCUGAGACAGGGACAGUGUCCAGGGUUGUCCUAAAUUGCAAUUCCUAGAGUUAAGUGAUCAUCUAUUUUAAAAGAAGAAAAUAUCAGUAAGGUACCAGAGCUCCUAUUGUGAAGAAAAAUCAGAAGACAUAAACCCUAAGUAUUUAGUAGAGAGAGAGAUGAAGAAAGAGCGCAGAACUGAGGACAAGAAAGAUGGACUUCGUUUCUUUUUUAAAAACAAUUGGAUUAGCACUCCUGCACUGUGCUCCAGAAGGCUACCUUGUAAAGAUGCUUCCUCUUCCAUGUUAUUGCUUUGUAUGUACAGAAUAGCACUAUAAAUUAAAAUUUUCUCACCUUUAACAGUCUGUGUAAUGCAAAAUAAAGGAGAUUCUCUUCCUGCCUUGUGUACAGAAUCAGAACCAGCUGAUUUGAUUUUUUCCUUUAUGUAUCUAGACAAACUUUUUUAAAGGAAAAGUCAAAACCAUCAUUUUGGCAGUCCCCUAAUGUGCAUUUAACAAUUAUCUGAUAAGGUAUUUUUUCAGUGCUAUUAGUUUGUUUGAACACAGUAUUUCAAGAGUCCCAGACAUUUUUCUCUUUGUUGACUCAUUAGCACCAAAAUGCCAUUUCUAAAGGGCCUUUUACAAAAGCCCAGGAGAAACAGAAUUAGUUAUCUGCAGACAGUGAAAGAAGAUAAUUAAGAGGGAAUACAGAUAUGUCAAAGCACUUUUUUUUUUUUUUGGUGCCUGUGAUAGAUCAUAAAAAAAAAAACAAUUAG